rnacentral:rRNA from 1 species
GGCUCAGGACGAACGCUGGCGGCACGCUAACACAUGCAAGUCGAACGAGCGAAGAGAGCUUGCUCUCCUAGCUAGUGGCGACGGGUGAGUAACACGUGAGCAAUCUGCCUUUCGGUGUGGGAUACCAUUUGGAAACGAAUGUUAAUACCGCAGUAACAUAACGGGAUCGCAUGAUCCUGUUAUCAAAGAUUUAUUGCCGGAAGAUGAGCUCGCGUCUGAUUAGCUAGUUGGUGAGGUAACGGCCCACCAAGGCGACGAUCAGUAGCCGGACUGAGAGGUUGAACGGCCACAUUGGGACUGAGACACGGCCCAGACUCCUACGGGAGGCAGCAGUGGGGAAUAUUGCACAAUGGGCGCAAGCCUGAAUGCAGCGAUGCCGCGUGAGGGAAGAAGGUUUUAGGAUUGUAAACCUCUGUCUUUGGGGACGAUAAUGACGGUACCCAAGGAGGAAGCUCCGGCUAACUACGUGCCAGCAGCAGC